rnacentral:rRNA from 1 species
CCUACGGGAGGCAGCAGUGAGGAAUAUUGGUCAAUGGGCGCGAGCCUGAACCAGCCAAGUAGCGUGAAGGAUGACUGCCCUACGGGUUGUAAACUUCUUUUAUAAGGGAAUAAAGUGAGGCACGUGUGCCUUUUUGUAUGUACCUUAUGAAUAAGGAUCGGCUAACUCCGUGCCAGCAGCCGCGGUAAUACGGAGGAUCCGAGCGUUAUCCGGAUUUAUUGGGUUUAAAGGGAGCGUAGAUGGGUUGUUAAGUCAGUUGUGAAAGUUUGCGGCUCAACCGUAAAAUUGCAAUUGAUACUGGCAGCCUUGAGUACAGUAGAGGUAGGCGGAAUUCGUGGUGUAGCGGUGAAAUGCUUAGAUAUCACGAAGAACUCCGAUUGCGAAGGCAGCUUACUGGACUGCAACUGACAUUGAUGCUCGAAAGUGUGGGUAUCAAACAGGAUUAGAUACCCGAGUAGUC